AUUGAACGCUGGCGGCAUGCUUUACACAUGCAAGUCGAACGGUAACAGGCCGCAAGGUGCUGACGAGUGGCGAACGGGUGAGUAAUGCAUCGGAACGUGCCCAGUCGUGGGGGAUAACUGCUCGAAAGAGCGGCUAAUACCGCAUACGAUCUAUGGAUGAAAGCGGGGGACCGUAAGGCCUCGCGCGAUUGGAGCGGCCGAUGUCAGAUUAGGUAGUUGGUGGGGUAAAGGCUCACCAAGCCAACGGUCUGUAGCUGGUCUGAGAGGACGACCAGCCACACUGGGACUGAGACACGGCCCAGACUCCUACGGGAGGCAGCAGUGGGGAAUUUUGGACAAUGGGGGCAACCCUGAUCCAGCAAUGCCGCGUGCAGGAAGAAGGCCUUCGGGUUGUAAACUGCUUUUGUACGGAACGAAACGGUCUGGGUUAAUACCCUGGGCUAAUGACGGUACCGUAAGAAUAAGCACCGGCUAACUACGUGCCAGCCGCCGCUGUAAGAC
rnacentral:rRNA from 1 species